AACGAACGCUGGCGGCAGGCUUAACACAUGCAAGUCGAACGGGUGUAGCAAUACACCAGUGGCAGACGGGUGAGUAACACGUGGGAACCUUCCUAGGGGUACGGAACAACUCAGGGAAACUUGAGCUAAUACCGUAUACGUCCGUAAGGAGAAAGAUUCAUCGCCCCUAGACGGGCCCGCGUCGGAUUAGGUAGUUGGUGGGGUAACGGCCUACCAAGCCUACGAUCCGUAGCUGAUCUGAGAGGAUGANCAGCCACACUGGGACUGAGACACGGCCCAGACUCCUACGGGAGGCAGCAGUGGGGAAUCUUGGACAAUGGGCGCAAGCCUGAUCCAGCCAUGCCGCGUGAGUGAAGAAGGCCUUAGGGUUGUAAAGCUCUUUUACCAGGGACGAUAAUGACGGUACCUGGAGAAUAAG
rnacentral:rRNA from 1 species